rnacentral:rRNA from 1 species
UACGUAGGCAGCGAGCGUUGUUCGGAGUUACUGGGCGUAAAGGGUGUGUAGGCGGUUAUUUAAGUUUGGUGUGAAAUCUCCCGGCUCAACCGGGAGGGUGCGCCGAAUACUGAAUGACUAGAGUGCGGGAGAGGUGAGUGGAAUUCCUGGUGUAGCGGUGAAAUGCGUAGAUAUCAGGAGGAACACCGGUGGUGUAGACGGCUCACUGGACCGUAACUGACGCUGAGACACGAAAGCGUGGGUAGCAAACGGG